rnacentral:rRNA from 1 species
AAUAGAUACCCGGGUAGUCCACGCCGUAAACGGUGAGUGCUAAGUGUUAGAGGGUUUCCGCCCUUUAGUGUUGCAGCAAACGCAUUAAGCACUCCGCCUGGGGAGUACGGUCGCAAGACUGAAACUCAAAGGAAUUGACGGGGGCCCGCACAAGCGGUGGAGCAUGUGGUUUAAUUCGAAGCAACGCGAAGAACCUUACCAGGUCUUGACAUCCUUCGCUACUUCUAGAGAUAGAAGGUUCCCCUUCGGGGGACGGAGUGACAGGUGGUGCAUGGUUGUCGUCAGCUCGUGUCGUGAGAUGUUGGGUUAAGUCCCGCAACGAGCGCAACCCUUGACCUUAGUUGCCAGCAUUUAGUUGGGCACUCUAAGGUGACUGCCGGUGACAAACCGGAGGAAGGUGGGGAUGACGUCAAAUCAUCAUGCCCCUUAUGACCUGGGCUACACACGUGCUACAAUGGAUGGUACAAAGGGCUGCAAGACUGCGAAGUCAAGCCAAUCCCAUAAAACCAUUCUCAGUUCGGAUUGCAGG